rnacentral:tRNA from 1 species
GCCGGGGUGGCGAAACAGGCAGACGCGCCGGACUCAAAAUCCGGUUCCCGCAAGGGAGUGGGGGUUCGAUUCCCUUCCCCGGCACCA